UGUUGCAGAGGGGUAAAUUAGAACAAUUCAUCAGCUGAAGUACUUUAAGAAGUUCAAAAUGCCAGAUAUAUUUUCCUCACUCACAGCAAGUGGAGGUCCUUCAGUUCUCCAACGCUUUCGGGUACUGUUCCUUGAAAACUAUUGUUAUGCAAGUCCCUUCAACAGUAAACACAUUAAUUUUAAAAUUUGUUGAACAGGACUAGCUAGGAAGAAUGAAGGAAGUCACUAUCUAAAUGCAAACAGUGAGGCUUACAAAAUUUGAAGGUUUAUCAAGUCCUCUAACUCUGAACCAAAAGCUGUAAGUUGAUUAAAGCUCAAGUUCCUGCAAAGGUGAGAGAACACAACUUAUUUUAGACGAUGCUCUCUCAAGUACUUUAACUUAACAUGGUAAUUCCUCGAGAUCAAGUAUUACAGCUUCUUAAGAUGUUGCAGGCUGCCGAUGUUUUGUAUCUCUCCAGCAAGUGAAGUAUUAUGCAAAUCCCUGCAACAAGUGGAACCUCAAAUAAGUAAGCCAAGAUAGCCAAACAGUGGCUCUUAAGUAAGUUGUUAAGACUG
rnacentral:lncRNA from 1 species